AUACUUAACUGGCAGGAGAGAUACCAUGAUCAGGAAGGUGGUUUUCCCAGGGCAAGGCUUAUCCAUUGCACUCCAGAUGUGAUUUUCCCAAAUGUGGAAAACUCAACUGCAUAAUUUGUGGUAGUGGGGAACUGCGUUUGCACUUUCCCCUG
rnacentral:snRNA from 1 species